ensembl:snRNA U2 U2 spliceosomal RNA
UUAGUAUCUGUGAGCUAAGAUCAAGUGUAGUAUCUGUUCUUAUCAGUUUAAUAUCUGAUAUUAUUUGUAAAUAAUUUCAAACUGGCUAGGAUUCAGACCUACAAUCAAAACUGAAAAAUGACAC